ensembl:snRNA U6 U6 spliceosomal RNA
GUGCUUGCUUUGACAGCACAUAUACUAAAAUUGGAACAAUACAGAGAAAAUUAGCAUGGCACCUGCGCAAGGAUGACAUGCAAAUUCGUGAAGCAAUCCACAUUAAA